UGUAGUCUGAAACUCGACUAUAUGAAUAAGUAAUUACUAGUAAUCGUGAAUCACCAUGUCACGGUGAAUUUUAUCUCGGAUUGGUACUAACCACUCGUCGCAUGCUGAAAGGAGCCCGCGCAAUAAGUUUGCUUUUUUGUUAUAAUCACUUUUAACUGCUAUAAUCUGCCAAAACCAGCUUAUCUAGCUUAAACAGGAUUAAAAUAUUAUAAUAGAAUUCUUCGUAUGCGUGACUCUAAUUAGUGUUAAGUCGAAAUAUGGUUCGUGUAGUGGAAGUUGCACGGGGUAAUAAACUUAA
rnacentral:ncRNA from 1 species